UACGUAGGGUGCAAGCGUUGUCCGGAAUUAUUGGGCGUAAAGAGCUCGUAGGCGGCUUGUCGCGUCGGCUGUGAAAACCUGGGGCUCAACCCCGGGCCUGCAGCCGAUACGGGCAAGCUAGAAUUCGGUAGGGGAGACUGGAAUUCCUGGUGUAGCGGCGAAAUGCGCAGAUAUCAGGAGGAACACCGGUGGCGAAGGCGGGUCUCUGGGCCGAAAUUGACGCUGAGGAGCGAAAGCGUGGGGAGCAAACAGG
rnacentral:rRNA from 1 species